AUGGCAUUGUCAUUACACAGAGCGCGUAUGCAUGGAAACUCCUGGAGAAGAGUGGCAUGGCUGGCUGCAAACCCUAUCACACCCCCAUGGAGCCCCAUUUCAAGCUAUCAAAAGAGAGCACAGUGCCACCAGUGGACGCAACCGGAGUACUGCAGCGUCGUUGGCAACCUGCGCUACCUGGUGCACACACGCCCUGACCUGACCUUCUCGGCCGGGUACGUUUCACGUUUCAUGGAGGCACCAACUGAAGAGCACCGGACCGCCGUCAAGCAUAUUUUGAGGUACAUCGCCGGCACUCUGCAUCUGGGCAACAAGUACGGUAGAGGAGAUGGUGAGCCUGAACUCAUCGGGUACAGCGACAGUGACCUAGGCGGCGACGUGGACACGCGCAAGAGCACCUUCGGCACCCUGUUCUUGCUCGGAGGAGGGGUGAUAACCUGGUAG
rnacentral:rRNA from 1 species